GCCCCAUGUGUGGCAGCAUGUCUCACUGUGUAUCUCAGUGAGCCGCUUCCCUAGGAGUUUGAGCUUUGUUAACAGUAACUACUGUUCAUGCUGUGUUGGCAAUCUGAGAGCUGCCACACUGAUGGAUGCACUCCUAAUGACCACGAGAGAAGGAAUACAGAGAAAAGAUUUCUGUUUUCCAUUGCAGAGAACGAUAGAUCUCCUAUUAAUUGCAGCGGAAUCUAAACUGGAUCAUGCUCUGGCCUCUGUUAAUCACUUGUGAACUGAUACGUCUGAUAAUAACACAGUCUACUAGAUCUUCAUCUUCAUUAUAUGCAUAAUGAACACGCACAGUUAUCAGGAGACAGAGCUCCAGCCUCUGCUAACUACGGAUCUGAAGACAGGCAUGAGAGCAGAUAAGGGGCGUUGACAGAGCUCAUGGGCCUGUGGCACGCCGCCCAUCAGACAAAGGAAAAAAGAAUAAAGAAAAUAACUUCAGAUGAUGUCUCAAAUAAAUACUUUGCACGUUUCUGCACUCUAUUAAGAGCUGAAGAGCAGGCACGCAGUCUGUCAGGAGCCUACCAGUGUUGCAGGCUUGUGAAUUUGCUACUGUAGAUGCGGUGUGUGUUUUCUGCAGUACUGACUGAAGAAGGUAAGAAAACCAGCAUCCAGAGUUUGGUAGCUUUCCUCACAGUAGGAGUUUGCUUGCAGCUCCAUUUCCACCCGCAGUUUGUUCAGUUCUGUGCUUUUUUCCUCUGGUUGUUUGAAUGAAACAGGUGUCUCACAGUGAGACUGAGUGCUUACAGCUCUAAUCUCUCCCUCUCACAAAUGAGUCUUUUGUACUGUCUGGUGGAUUAAUAGGGGGGUGAGGUGCUUAAAAAAAUAAACAGUGAGUACAAACAGUAGGAAGGAAGGGG
rnacentral:lncRNA from 1 species